AUUGAACGCUGGCGGCAGGCCUAACACAUGCAAGUCGAACGAGUGGCGGACGGGUGAGUAAUGUUUGGGAAUCUAGCUUAUGGAGGGGGAUAACUACGGGAAACUGUAGCUAAUACCGCGUACCAUAGGAUGAGCCCCAUUGGGAUUAGGUAGUUGGUGGGGUAAAGGCUCACCAAGCCGACGAUCUCUAGCUGGUGUGAGAGGAUGACCAGCAACACUGGAACAGAGCCACGGCCCAGAAUCCUACGGGAGGCAGCAGUGGGGAAUAUUGCGCAAUGGGGGCAACCCUGAAGCAGCCAUGCCGCGUGAAUGAAGAAGGCCUUCGGGUUGUAAAGUUCUUUCAGUAGCGAGGCGUUACCCGCAGAAGAAGCACCGGCUAACUCCGUGCCAGCAGCCGCGGUAAUAC
rnacentral:rRNA from 1 species